rnacentral:rRNA from 1 species
AUAACAUAUAAAUAUAAAAGUAUCAUAAAUAUGGAUAAUCAGGUGUAAUUAAUUAAAGUGAUUAUUAAGCAUGCCUAGCAAACAUUUAUUAAAGGAGGGAAUAAUUCCAAAAGCUAUUGUUAAUUAAAGUCAGUAGCGAUCCUAGGGAAAACCUAAAAAAAUUAUACGCAGUGAAUUGAAACAUCUUAGUAACUGUAGGAAAGGAAAUCAACAGAGACUCUAUUAGUAGCGGCGAGCGAAAAUAGAUUAGCCUAUUAAUUUAUAUUGUAUUAUAGAAUUUAUUGGAAUAUAAUCUGUAAAAGGUGAAAGACCUGUAUAUAAUAUGUAUUAAUAAAAUUAAUUAGAGUGGAAGAUAAUCUGCUUGAAUAUUGGGGAACCAUCGUCAAAGGCUAAGUAUAAAUGUUUAGCGAUAGUGAAGAGUAACGUGAGUGAAAGGUGAAAAGUAAGUCGAUGACUGGUGAAAUAGAACCUGAAUUAGUAAUCAUACAAGCAAUUAGAGCUAUUUUCUUAAGAAAAUACUUAUAAUGUACCUUUUGUAUAAUGGGUUAGCGAGUUAAUACUAGUAGCAAGGUUAAUAACCCUAGUGAAAGCGAUUAAUACUUAAAGUAUGUAAUAUAGUUACUGUUAUUACACCCGAAACGCGGUGAUCUAUCCAUAGCCAGACUUAAUUAGGUCGAAUGGGUUAAUGUUGCAGUAUUAUCCAAUGAGCUGUGGAUUGUCGGUGAAAGGCCAAUCUGACCGCGAUAUAGCUGGUACUCCUCGAAACAUAUUUUAGUAUGACUUCUUAAACUAGAUUUAUGCGGGUACAGCACUGAUUGCCAUACUGAAAUCUUUUAGAAAGUAGGUUAAAAUGGGGGGUUGACAAAACUUUACUAUUGGUAUGUUAAACUCGGAAUCAACAUAAAUUGAUAUAAGAAUUUCAGACUGCUCAUGAUAAGGUGGGUAGUCGAGACGGAAACAGCCGUGAACAUAGAAUAAGGUCCGAAAAUAAUGAUUAAGUGAAAUAAAGGCAGUUAUGGUUCAAAUACAACUAUAAAGUUACCUUGGAAGUUGCUAUCUUUUAAUGAAAGUGUAACAACUUAGUAGUCUAUCGAAACUUAGCGCCAAAGAUUAACGGGUCUAAAUUAUUUACCGAAACUAUGUCGAUAUAUAUCUAUAUAUAGAUAUAUAUUAGGGUAGAGGAGCAUUCAGUAUGGUUGAAGAAUAGUGUUAAAUUAUUUGGACAUUACUGAAGAGAAUAUGCUAACAUGAGUAACGUAGAAAGAAGAUAUAAUUCUUCUCCCCGAAUACGAAAGGGUUUCAAAGAAAUGUUAAACAGCUUUGAUUUAAAACGGUCUCUAAGAUAAUUGUAUUAACAUAAUUGUUAUUAUCGAUGAGUUUAUAAUAGAACGAAACCAAGAAAUUUAUAUUAUUAAUUACCGUACCCUAAAGUAACACAAGUUCGUAGGUAGAGAAUACUAAGGCGUAGAGAUAAUACUGUAUAAGGAACUCGGCAAAAUGCGUCCGUACAGUAGAUAAUAAGCACGACCUCUUGAGGGUAUCAUAAAAUCGUGAAGCACAACUGUUUACCAAAAACACAGGUAUCUGCUAUGUAAAAAACAUUGUAUAGGUGCUGAAUCUUGUCCGAUGUCAUAAGUAUAAUUAGGGGUACUGAAAGGUACUUCGAGAAGCUUUGAUCAAUGACAGUCUUAACUAUAAGGAUUUUAACAGUAGCGAAAUUCCUUGGCCGUUAAAUGCGGUCCUGCAUGAAUAGAGUAAUGAUGCUUCAGCUGUCUCAUACAGUAUCUCAGUGAAAUUGAAUUAGCCGUGAAGAUGCGGUUUAGAUGUGGGUAGACGGGAAGACCCUAUGCAGCUUUACUAUACCCUGUUAUUGAUUUAGUCGAUUCUAUGAAGAGAUAGGGAGGUAAUUGAUGACUCUUAAUAAAAUCCAUUAAUUUUAUUAAGACGAGAUAAAUAUGAAAAACUUCUGAUAGGCGACUAAAUUGUUCUUUUUGAUGAAAUGAUAAUGACACGUUGGUAGUUUAACUGGGACGGUUUCCUCCAAUAAAGUAUCGGAGGACUUUAAUGGUAUGUUAGUAAUUUUGAUGGAAACAUAAUCGUUAUGUAUAAUGAUAUAUUACGCAAAGGUAUAAAGAUGCUUAACUGAGAGAUAGAUAUAUCAAACAGAUACGUAAGUAGGGCUUAGUGAACCGGUGUUUUCUUUAUGGAAAGAGCAUCGAUCAAGAAAUAAAAGUUACGCUAGGGAUAACAGGGUAAUAGCUCUCGAGAGUUCAUAUUGUCAGAGCUGUUUGCCACCUCGAUGUCGACUGACCUUCUCCUCUUGGUGCACAAGCUAAGAAGGGUUCUGGUGUUCGCAGAUUAAAAAGGUACGCGAGUUGGGUUCAAUACGAUGUGAGUCAGUAUCGUUCCUAUCUUCCACAUCAAUAAAUAGUCAAAUUUAGAUGGGUCUUUAGUACGAAAGGACCGAGAUCUGCGUUUCUCUGGUGUACGAAUUGUUGAACAAAAAUCGGCACCCUUGGGUAGCUACAAACGUUAAGGAUAAAAGCUGAAAGCAUAUUAAGCUAUUGAAGUCAACUAAAGGGGACUAUAAUAAGUAUGUAUUUUAUUUUUUUAAUAAUUUAUUUCAUACAAGCUUAGAAAUAGACUAUUUCUUAAAUAGGUCACAUGUGUAAGUGAAGAGAAACACUAAG